UACAGAGGGGGCGAGCGUUAUUCGGAAUUACUGGGCGUAAAGCGCACGUAGGCGGCUUUGUAAGUUAGAGGUGAAAGCCCGGGGCUCAACUCCGGAAUUGCCUUUAAGACUGCAUCGCUAGAAUUGUGGAGAGGUAAGUGGAAUUCCGAGUGUAGAGGUGAAAUUCGUAGAUAUUCGGAAGAACACCAGUGGCGAAGGCGACUUACUGGACACAUAUUGACGCUGAGGUGCGAAAGCGUGGGGAGCAAACAGG
rnacentral:rRNA from 1 species